UACGUAGGGUGCGAGCGUUAAUCGGAAUUACUGGGCGUAAAGCGUGCGCAGGCGGCUUGCCAAGUCAGAUGUGAAAGCCCCGGGCUCAACCCGGGAACGGCGUUUGAAACUGGCAGGCUAGAGUUUGGCAGAGGGGGGUGGAAUUCCACGUGUAGCAGUGAAAUGCGUAGAGAUGUGGAGGAACACCGACGGCGAAGGCAGCCCCCUGGGCCAAAACUGACGCUCAGGCACGAAAGCGUGGGGAGCAAACAGG
rnacentral:rRNA from 1 species